rnacentral:rRNA from 1 species
AGUGGCGACCGGGUGAGUAAAGGGGACUAACCUACCUUUUAGUGGGGGAUAACUCCGGGAAACCGGAGCUAAUACCGCAUAACAUCGCAAGAUCAAAGCAGCAAUGCGCUGGAAGAGGGGGUCGCGGCUGAUUAGCUAGUUGGCGGGGUAACGGCCCACCAAGGCGAAGAUCGGUAUCCGGCCUGAGAGGGCGCACGGACACACUGGAACUGAAACACGGUCCAGACUCCUACGGGAGGCAGCAGUGGGGAAUUUUGCGCAAUGGGGGAAACCCUGACGCAGCAACGCCGCGUGGAGGAUGAAGCCCCUUGGGGCGUAAACUCCUUUCGACCAAGACGAUAAUGACGGUACUGGUGGAAGAAGCACCGGCUAACUCUGUGCCAGCAGCCGCGGUAACACAGAGGGUGCAAGCGUUGUUCGGAAUUAUUGGGCGUAAAGGGUGCGUAGGCGGCGCGACAAGUCACUUGUGAAAUCUCCGGGCUUAACUCGGAGCCUGCAGGCGA